rnacentral:rRNA from 1 species
ACUCUGAGUCGAGGCUCUCAUCGCAAUGGUUUGUUGAUUAACACUCGAUACUCGGCCCGAGAAAAAGGGACUACGUUAAAGUCCCUGCCAGACAUAAAAAAAGAAAGAACCCAUGCUCAUCACAGGAAGUUCACCUCUCACAAUUGUUUUACUAUGAAAAAAUUAGAGCGUUCCAAGCAUUCCAAUGCUCCAAUACAUCAACAUAAAAUAACAGAACAGGCCAUGUGAUUCUUUCUUGUUGGUGUCUUCGAGCGCAGUAAUGAUUAAAAGGGACUGAUUUUUUCACCAGAAAUUACUGUCACCCCGCCAAAUCUUGUAUAGAGUGAAGACUCCCCCCGCGAAAAGGCUCUGCAAGGAUGUUUUCUUAUCAGGGACGCAGGCUAGGGGACCCAAAGCGAUACUAACCGCUUUUUUUCUUCACCAAAACUAUUCCCACUAGUGGACCGGCAAUUUUAUUUUUUGACCGGCCGACUCUACGCCAACGAAAAG